GAUGAACGCUGGCGGCGUGCCUAAUACAUGCAAGUCGAGCGAACAGAUGAGGAGCUUGCUCCUCUGAGGUUAGCGGCGGACGGGUGAGUAACACGUGGAUAACCUACCUAUAAGACUGGGAUAACUUCGGGAAGCCGGUGCUAAUACCGGAUAAUAUAUUGAACCGCAUGGUUCAAUAGUGAUAGGCGGUUUUGCUGUCACUUAUAGCUGGAUCCGCGCCGCAUUAGCUAGUUGGUAAGGUAACGGCUUACCAAGGCAACGAUGCGUAGCCGACCUGAGAGGGUGAUCAGCCACACUGGAACUGAGACACGGUCCAGACUCCUACGGGAGGCAGCAGUAGGGAAUCUUCCGCAAUGGGCGAAAGCCUGACGGAGCAACGCCGCGUGAGUGAUGAAGGUCUUCGGAUCGUAAAACUCUGUUAUUAGGGAAGAACAAAUGUGUAAGUAACUAUGCACGUCUUGACGGUACCUAAUCAGAAAGCCACGGCUAACUACGUG
rnacentral:rRNA from 1 species